rnacentral:rRNA from 1 species
UACGGAGGAUGCAAGCGUUAAUCGGAAUUAUUGGGCGUAAAGGGUGCGCAGGCGGUUUUGUAAGUCAGAUGUGAAAUCCCCGGGCUUAACCUGGGAAUUGCGUUUGAAACUACAAGACUAGAGUGUGGCAGAGGGGGGUGGAAUUCCAUGUGUAGCAGUGAAAUGCGUAGAGAUGUGGAAGAACAUCGAUGGCGAAGGCAACCCCCUGGGUUAACACUGACGCUCAGGCACGAAAGCGUGGGGAGCAAACAGGAUUAGAACCCGGGUAGUCC